UGAUGUGAGGGUGAUCUGGCUGCGAUGUCUGUCACCCCAUUGAUCGCUAGGGUUGAUUCAGCUGAUCUGGCUGGCAAGGCGGGUGUCCCCUUCCUCCCUCACCGCUCCAUGAGUGUCCCUCCCGAAGCCCCGCGCUCGGUGGAAGAGGACAGAUUCCUAAAGACGGGCGUCGCUGGUAUAGAAGCCGUGAACGACCCUGCUAGAACCUCCAAACAAGCUCAAGGCCCAUUUGUAGGAGAAACGUAGGGAAGUCGAGCUCAAAGACUUCAGG
rnacentral:snRNA from 1 species